rnacentral:rRNA from 1 species
GACAGAGGAUGCAAGCGUUAUCCGGAAUGAUUGGGCGUAAAGCGUCUGUAGGUGGCUUUUUAAGUCCGCCGUCAAAUCCCAGGGCUCAACCCUGGACAGGCGGUGGAAACUACCAAGCUGGAGUACGGUAGGGGCAGAGGGAAUUUCCGGUGGAGCGGUGAAAUGCGUAGAGAUCGGAAGGAACACCAGUGGCGAAAGCGGCUUCCUGGUCCAGCACCGACGUUCAGGCACGAAAGCGUGGGGAGCAAACAGG